rnacentral:rRNA from 1 species
GUGGAUUAGAUACCCUGGUAGUCCCUGCCUUAAACGGUGCACACUUGGCGCGGGGGGAUUUCACCCCCCCCGUGCCGGAGCUAACGCGUUAAGUGUGCCGCCUGGGGAGUACGGCCGCAAGGUUAAAACUCAAAGAAAUUGACGGGGGCCCGCACAAGCAGAGGAGCAUGUGGCUUAAUUCGAUGCAACGCGAAGAACCUUACCAGGGUUUGACAUGGACCUGCACGGCCUAUGAAAGUAGGCCUCCUUCGAGGGUGGUUCACAGGUGCUGCACGGCUGUCGUCAACU